AUACGUAGGGGGCGAGCGUUGUCCGGAAUGAUUGGGCGUAAAGGGCGCGUAGGCGGCGCGGUAAGUCUGGAGUGAACGUCCUGCUUUCAAGGUGGGAAUUGCUUUGGAUACUGCCGCGCUUGAGUGCAGGAGAGGUUAUCGGAAUUCCCGGUGUAGCGGUGAAAUGCGUAGAGAUCGGGAGGAACACCAGUGGCGAAGGCGGGUAACUGGACUGCAACUGACGCUGAGGCGCGAAAGUGUGGGGAGCAAACAGGAUUAGAUACCCUGGUAGUCCACACUGUAAACGAUGAAUGCUAGGUGUAAGAGGUAUCGACCCCUUUUGUGCCGGAGUCAACACAAUAAGCAUUCCGCCUGGGGAGUACGGCCGCAAGGUUGAAACUCAAAUGAAUUGGCGGGG
rnacentral:rRNA from 1 species